UAAAGGUCCUGCCCAUUGUCUUGGCGUUUGAGUCACCUCAUCUGAAUGACAAAAAUGCAGUUCUGCCAGUGCAGCAAACCGGAAUACAUGCAUCACAUGUAAUUAAUAAGAGACGCAUCAUCUACCAUAACUUCAUUUUAACUGGGCAGAGAACCGGCACCUCGCAAUUCGUGUUUUAUAGUUUUGUAUCCUUAAUAAUAAUAAUAAUAAUAAUAAUAAUAAUAAUAAUAAUAAUAAUACAUUUUGGGAGAUGGCGAAAGGUAUGAAGCACAUUCGCAGGGUAAUAUCCGGCACGGUCAAGUACAAUUUGACGGUGGAGAUCGCUGAAGAGGACGGGACCUCGGUGUCAGUCUCGGUACGGGCGUCGGACACGGUGCGCGAUCUCCGCAUGAAGUUGGUGAGGAAGGGAGUCACGUCCUGGAAACACAAGUUCACGUACAAAGGCAGACAGCUGGGCGAAAACGAGGUCUUUAAACACACCGGGAUUAGAAACGGAGCGCACCUUGUUCUAAGGAAAGAUGGUAGUUUAUUUAUUUAAUAAUAAUAUUAAUGGCUUUACCAUACCUCUCUGGGCCUUGCCAUGCUUAACAGUGCUUUAUUACCCUUUCACUAUUCAUUAUGAGACUCUUUGCUAUACUUCUACCAUGGGUAACGUGUGUAAGAGUUUGCCAGCUACAUUAAUUAUAUCUGGCUGCAAACUUUCUUAUCUUGAAUAACAGGUCUGCCCAGUGCAGUUCUAGCAAGUCAUGUGAUUCUUACUGACAGGUAAAGGCUAUUUACUGGCAAUGACAUUACUUUCUAUGGACAUUACUAUCAGACAAUAGUACAGUGGUUGUACUGGUUCAGCGAUUCGAUGGCUUUUGUUAUCCUUAGUUUAAUAUUUGUUAAUGAAUAUUUUUUCUUCAAAUCGUUUGUUAACUUGCAGCUAGGGUAUUUAUUCCAAACCUUAUAAUAAGAACAUAAGAAGAACAUAAGAAAGUUUCCAAACAAGAGGAAGCCAUUCGGCCCAUCUUGUUCGUUUGGUUGUUAGUAGCUUAUUGAUCCCAGAAUCUCAUCAAGCAGCUUCUUGAAGGAUCCCAGGGUGUCAGCUUCAACAACAUUACUGGGGAGUUGGUUCCAGACUCCCACAAUUCUCUGUGUAAAAAAAGUGUCCCCUAUUUUCUAUUUUGAAUGCCCCUUUAUCUAAUCUCCAUUUGUAACCCUUGGUCCUUGUUUAUUUUUUCAGGUCGAAAAAGUCCCCUGGGUCGACAUUGUCAAUACGAUUUAGGAUUUUGAAUGCUUGAAUCAGAUUGCUGCGUAGUCUUCUUUGUUCAAAACUGAAUAGAUUACAUUCUUUUAGCCUGUAAUGUUAUUAUAUGAUAUGGGUGGGCCCUUAAACUAAACAGAUGACUACAUAUAUACAUCAAACUGACAGUUUAAACUUUGAUCAUAUUACUACAGGAAACUCCAAUGUCUCUACUCCGGCUUUGUCUUAUAACACAAAAUAAUGUUGUUAGUUUUUGUUUCCUGUCAUUUUGGUUUUUUCUAGAAGACAUCGAGGAUAGCGAUAAGUGACAGCACCUCCAUAAACCGUGAGUCUGCAUGGGGACCUUUGUGAAAAGGUUUGGGGGCUGCCAAGAAUUCCUAAAGAGGAAGAAGCGAGCAAAAUGGCAUUCGGUUUCACUCAAGCACGAAGUGGACAGCUAUAGAAGCCACACUAGGGGUCCUGGAAUGCAAACAGGCCUGUGCUACAAUUCUGUUCGAUAGCAGGGAUGAUUGAGUCACAUGUCAGCCCAGUGACGUCUUCCAGUGGUUGUCAGGAUGCCUGCCAGAGGACCUCGCCCAAGCCACAGCCGCGGAGACAAGGUUUGGGGGCUGCAAAGAAGUCCUAGAGAGGAAGAAGCGAACAAAAUGGCGUUCGGUUUCACUCAGGCACGAAGUGGACAGCUAUAGAAGCCGCACUAGGGGUCCUGGAAUGCAAACAGGCCUGUGCUACCAUUCUAAAGUGAAGCCAUGCCAGGUAUUCACUUUGCUGUAAACCACCUAGUUGUUUUUUCAGAACACUAUUAAUAACAAUAACAUGUCAUCAAUUGCCACAAGCACCAGGAUAUACCUUCUGCACCCAGCCCUGCAAACACAUUGGGAGACAUGAAAUAUGUACAGAACUAUCAUCUUCUUAUAGUGAUUGUAUCUCACUGAAAAAAUGAAUUCCAUUAAUGUCCUGUUCAUCAGGGAAACGGUCUCCACCCCUUCAGGACCUUCUUUCCUGUCAGGAACCAACCAGCUGCUUCCUUUUAAUAACUGACGUGCUUUGCAGCCAGUAAGAAGACCCCACUGAGAUGAUACUGUUUACCAAGUGCUGUCGUUUUUUCAUCUUUCAAAACUGCACAUUUGAGACCUGUACAGAGAAUGAAAGUGCAACACAAUGAUUUGGUUCGCUACAACCAUUUUAAUGAUGCGCAAGAGUGAAUUCCAUAAAACAACGGAGGAAACAGGGUCCAAAUUCCACUUCUAUGCAAGGAAAGAGCAGUGUUUUAUUUUAAGCUCUGGGUGCAAUUCACACAAAGCACCACAAGAUGGCAGUGUAAACUCUGCUGUGGGACUUUGAAGCGCCAGCACAAGGAAUCAGGCAGGACAAGCACAGACUAAACAGAACAGGGUGCUCCAGCUGCUGAAAGUUAAAUGAGCUGAGAAAUAAACGCUGGUUGUAAAGAGGAGGUUCUGCAUUACUUAACAAUGUCUUUAUCGCCUAUUAAUCUUGAGCUGCUAAUGCGCUGAGGUUGAGGUUUACUGCCUGUGCAGUUAGCAUGGGUUCAGUCAAGCCCCCUGGAGGUCUCAUUUACACCUGAAUCAUGAACGGGAGAGAAGCUCCUGACAUGUUUACCCACAGCGGGCAUGUUUUGUUUUCCUUUGUUUUUACUUGAAAGCACCUUUUAUUUCACUGUUUAUGCAAUGUAAUGCUUGUACGUUAUUAGCUGCACCUGUUCUCUACCUAGUUCUUCUGUUCCCCUUAAAUCAAUUAAAAUGGUGAAACCUAACAAUUCCCUAAAUGUCACCUGUGUAGGUCUCAGGUGUGCUAGGGUGCUUGCAUUUUUAUGAGGCUGUGUGGUCCAGUGGUUAAAGAAAAGGGCUUGUAACCAGGAGGUCCCCGGUUCAAAUCCCUCCUCAGCCACUGACUCGUUGUGUGACUCUGAGCAAGUCACUUAACCUCCUUGUGCUCCGUCUGAUGCAUAGUUCACACACCUUAGUCUCUGUAAGUCGCCUUGGAUAAAGGCGUCUGCUAAAUAAACAAAUAAAUAAAAAUGAUGCCUGGUACCAGACUGACCAGCUGUUUUCUGUAAAAACGGCUUGCUCUUCAUUCCUUUGUGUAAUGUGCUUCACUUUGUUCUGCAUAGGCUGCGAUUUGAUACCCAUAAAUUGAACCCUUUCAGGCACCCGUGUUCAUUUAUUUUUAAACUGGCUUGUGUUUGAUCUGUUUUAUUACAACUGGUAGUCCUAAAGCGAAGUGACCGUUCUGGUCGGAGAACUGCUGGUGCCAUGGCAACAAGAGCAGCGCUCACGUUAAAAACCGGAUGCAAAGUAGGAAAAAUUAUGUUUUGAUACACAUGAAAAAAAAAGUGGCACUGAAAGUACAUUUCUAUAUUCAUUGUAAAUUAUACAAUGUAUUAAAACCGCAUGUUGUGGUGUUAUCUGUUUUUAUAUCUGUACAGGCUUAUUAUAUAAUAAACUGAAAUACCUGUUUACAAUGUUUUGUGCUGUAUUAAAAAUAAUAUAUAUA